rnacentral:rRNA from 1 species
GUCCACGCCGUAAACGAUGUCUACUAGCCGUUGGGAGACUUGAUUUCUUAGUGGCGCAGCUAACGCUUUAAGUAGACCGCCUGGGGAGUACGGCCGCAAGGUUAAAACUCAAAUGAAUUGACGGGGGCCCGCACAAGCGGUGGAGCAUGUGGUUUAAUUCGAUGCAACGCGAAGAACCUUACCAGGUCUUGACAUCCUCGGAACUUUCCAGAGAUGGAUUGGUGCCUUCGGGAACCGAGAGACAGGUGCUGCAUGGCUGUCGU